rnacentral:rRNA from 1 species
AGGACGAACGCUGGCGGCGUGCCUAACACAUGCAAGUCGAACGAGGUCCAUCCUUCGGGAGAAGACCUAGUGGCGAACGGGUGAGUAACACGUGAAGAACCUGCCCCGAAGACCGGGAUAACCCUCCGAAAGGAGAGCUAAUACCGGAUACCCCCACCGAACCGCAUGGUUUGGUGAGGAAAUGGAUUCCGCUUCGGGAGGGCUUCGCGGCCUAUCAGCUAGUUGGUGGGGUAACGGCCCACCAAGGCAUCGACGGGUAGCUGGUCUGAGAGGACGAUUCAGCCACACUGGGACUGAGGCACGGCCCAGACUCCUACGGGAGGCAGCAGUGGGGAAUCUUGCGCAAUGGGCGAAAGCCUGACGCAGCAACGCCGCGUGGGGGAUGAAGGCUCUCGGGUUGUAAACCCCUUUCAGCAGGGACGAAUCAAGACGGUACCUGCAGAAGAAGCCCCGGCUAACUACGUG